CUCCCCUUGGAGUCUGCUCUGUCCAUGACUGUUAGAUAAGACAAAGCUCUCUGCUCGUGUCGUUACAAACACACAGGACUACAAACACACAGGACUACAAACACACAGGACUACAAACACACAGGACUACAAACACACAGGACUACAAACACACAGGACUACAAACACACAGGACUACAAACACACUGGACUAUAAACACACAGGACUACAAACACACAGGACUACAAACACACAGGACUACAAACAGACAGGACUACAAACAGGGAUAUAGUCAAGGCCCGAUGGCUCUGUAGCCGCAGUGAACCGCUUACUCCUGUGUUGGGUCGGACCUUAUUAUAGUUCUGUACAUGUAGCUGUGCACUUUUUCUAUCUAGGCCUGUGUAGCAAGAUAACUCUGUUUCAAAUCUUCUGGACUUCCCCCUUCCCCUCAAAGAUAAAUAUUCCAGUGACUGGGUCAGGUUCAUCAUGUGACCAGUGACUGGGUCAGGUUCAUCAUGUGACCAGUGACUGGGUCAGGUUCAUCAUGUGACCAGUGACUGGGUCAGGUUCAUCAUGUGACCAGUGACUGGGUCAGGUUCAUCAUGUGACCAGUGACUGGGUCAGGUUCAUCAUGUGACCAGUGACUGGGUCAGGUUCAUCAUGUGACCAGUGACUGGAUCAGGUUCAUCAUGUGACCAGUGACUGGAUCAGGUUCAUCAUGUGACCAGUGUUAGGACAGCCAAUAUCAAACCAUUGCAAAAAGUGUUGCUAUAUGUUUUUCUACAGUGUGCAGUAAUGAAUACCACCCUGACCAUGCAGUGUUAUUGACUAUCAUGCCUAUUGACAUGUUGUUCCGUUCCUAAACUGUUAG